rnacentral:rRNA from 1 species
CGGGUGAGUAAUGCCUAGGAAUCUGCCUGGUAGUGGGGGACGAACGUUUCGAAAGGAACGCUAAUACCGCAUACGUCCUACGGGAGAAAGCAGGGGACCUUCGGGCCUUGCGCUAUCAGAUGAGCCUAGGUCGGAUUAGCUAGUUGGUGAGGUAAUGGCUCACCAAGGCGACGAUCCGUAACUGGUCUGAGAGGAUGAUCAGUCACACUGGAACUGAGACACGGUCCAGACUCCUACGGGAGGCAGCAGCC